CACGGGGUUGCGAGCGUUGUCCGGAAUUACUAGGCGUAAAGGGCAGGCAGGCGGAUCCAUAAGUUUAUCGUUUAAGGCGUCGGCUUAACCGGCGUAGGGCGGUAGAUACUGUGGAUCUGGAAUUCGGUUGGGGAAGACAGAAUUCCUGGUGUAGCGGUGGAAUGCGCAGAGAUCAGGAGGAAUACCGAAGGCGAAGGCAGUCUUCCAAGCCGUUAUUGACGCUCAACUGCGAAGGUGUGGGUAUCAAACAGGAUUAGAUAUCCCGGUAGUCCCUGAG
rnacentral:rRNA from 1 species